rnacentral:rRNA from 1 species
AGCCUAUGUCUGAUUAGCUAGUUGGUAGGGUAAGGCCUACCAAGGCGACGAUCAGUAGCUGGUCUGAGAGGACGAUCAGCCACACGGAACUGAGACACGGUCCGACUCCUACGGGAGGCAGCAGUGGGGAAUAUUGGACAAUGGGCGCAAGCCUGAUCCAGCCAUGCCGCGUGUGUGAUGAAGGCCUAGGGUUGUAAAGCUCUUUCAAGGGGACGAUAAUGACGGUACCCGGGAGAAGAAGCCCCGGCUAACUUCGUGCCAGCCGCCGCGGUAAUU